rnacentral:rRNA from 1 species
UAACAAGGUCUCCGUUGGUGAACCAGCGGAGGGAUCAUUACUGAGUUUACGCUCUAUAACCCUUUGUGAACAUACCUAUAACUGUUGCUUCGGCGGGUAGGGUCUCCGCGACCCUCCCGGCCUCCCGCCUCCGGGCGGGUCGGCGCCCGCCGGAGGAUAACCAAACUCUGAUUUAACGACGUUUCUUCUGAGUGGUACAAGCAAAUAAUCAAAACUUUUAACAACGGAUCUCUUGGUUCUGGCAUCGAUGAAGAACGCAGCGAAAUGCGAUAAGUAAUGUGAAUUGCAGAAUUCAGUGAAUCAUCGAAUCUUUGAACGCACAUUGCGCCCGCCAGCAUUCUGGCGGGCAUGCCUGUUCGAGCGUCAUUUCAACCCUCAAGCUCUGCUUGGUGUUGGGGCCCUACAGCUGAUGUAGGCCCUCAAAGGUAGUGGCGGACCCUCCCGGAGCCUCCUUUGCGUAGUAACUUUACGUCUCGCACUGGGAUCCGGAGGGACUCUUGCCGUAAAACCCCCCAAUUUUCCAAAGGUUGACCUCGGAUCAGGUAGGAAUACCCGC